rnacentral:rRNA from 1 species
GGUUAGUGGCGGACUGGUGAGUAACACGUAAGCAACCUGCCUAUUAGAGGGGAAUAACAGCGAGAAAUCGUUGCUAAUACCGCAUAUGCUGUGAGUAUCGCAUGAUACAAGCAGGAAAGGAGCAAUCCGCUAAUAGAUGGGCUUGCGUCUGAUUAGUUAGUUGGUGGGGUAACGGCCUACCAAGACGAUGAUCAGUAGCCGGACUGAGAGGUUGAACGGCCACAUUGGGACUGAGAUACGGCCCAGACUCC